GGCGGCAGGCUUAACACAUGCAAGUCGAGCGGGGAAGAGUAGCUUGCUACUUUACCUAGCGGCGGACGGGUGAGUAAUGCUUAGGAAUCUGCCUAUUAGUGGGGGACAACAUCUCGAAAGGGAUGCUAAUACCGCAUACGUCCUACGGGAGAAAGCAGGGGACCUUCGGGCCUUGCGCUAAUAGAUGAGCCUAAGUCGGAUUAGCUAGUUGGUGGGGUAAAGGCCUACCAAGGCGACGAUCUGUAGCGGGUCUGAGAGGAUGAUCCGCCACACUGGGACUGAGACACGGCCCAGACUCCUACGGGAGGCAGCAGUGGGGAAUAUUGGACAAUGGGGGGAACCCUGAUCCAGCCAUGCCGCGUGUGUGAAGAAGGCCUUUUGGUUGUAAAGCACUUUAAGCGAGGAGGAGGCUACUUGGAUUAAUACUCUAGGAUAGUGGACGUUACUCGCAGAAUAAGCACCGGCUAACUCUGUGCCAGCAGCCGCGGUAAUACAGA
rnacentral:rRNA from 1 species